GUAACAUUUCCCAGCGCUGCCACAGGCGCGUCUCGCCCUGUCCAACGCGGAGCCCGAAGAAUUACUAAGAAACCGAGGUCUGAAGGAGGGAAGAGGUGACGGGCUCGAGGCCACACGGUGGGCCAGGCUGGGCCCGGCUGCACGCCGGCUACCGGGGCCCAGCCCUCUGCACGCCUCCCGCAGCCUCAGUUUCCCUGUCCGUGGUACUGAGGAUGCUCGGGCCUAGAAGUUCAGGGCUGGAGGCCCAGGGACCGUCGAGGGAGGGGCAUCAUCCCCGCCAUGGGGCCGCCGCAACUGCCCAGAGCACAGGCCAAAGGAAGCUGCAGGAUGAAGACAACAGCAUCACAAGGAGGAAGCCAGGAUCCCUGUGUUACCACAAGGAGGAGAGAUGCCUAACCAAGACCGUCUGCAAGGAUUUUGUGUGAGCCAGAAGCAGAGCUGUAUGGUGUUCAGCCACUGAGAUUUGAGGGCUGUUUGUUACAGCAGUUGACCUAUCCUGACUGACACAUCACAUCAUUCCUUUCCCCACCAUGUGUCUAACAUGCUACCAAAUUGAAUUUUAAGUAAAUUAGUACUUAUAAAUUAAGUACAAAUGCUUUUCAAAUUCACAUGAAUCUUUGGUAAAUAAAACUGGUUGUAAAAUUAUUGAUAAAUAU
rnacentral:lncRNA from 1 species